rnacentral:rRNA from 1 species
UCUACGGGAGGCUGCAGUGGGGAAUAUUGGACAAUGGGCGAAAGCCUGAUCCAGCCAUGCCGCGUGUGUGAAGAAGGCCUUCGGGUUGUAAAGCACUUUCAGUGGGGAAGAAAGCCUUGGGGCUAAUACCCUCGAGGAAGGACAUCACCCACAGAAGAAGCACCGGCUAACUCCGUGCCAGCAGCCGCGGUAAUACGGAGGGUGCGAGCGUUAAUCGGAAUUACUGGGCGUAAAGCGCGCGUAGGCGGUCUGAUAAGCCGGUUGUGAAAGCCCCGGGCUCAACCUGGGAACGGCAUCCGGAACUGUCAGGCUAGAGUGCAGGAGAGGAAGGUAGAAUUCCCGGUGUAGCGGUGAAAUGCGUAGAGAUCGGGAGGAAUACCAGUGGCGAAGGCGGCCUUCUGGACUGACACUGACGCUGAGGUGCGAAAGCGUGGGUAGCAAACAGGAUUAGAUACCCCAGUAGUC